rnacentral:rRNA from 1 species
UACGUAGGGUGCAAGCGUUGUCCGGAAUUAUUGGGCGUAAAGAGCUCGUAGGCGGUUUGUUGCGUCGGCUGUGAAAUCCCGAGGCUCAACCUCGGGUCUGCAGUCGAUACGAGCAAACUAGAGUGUUGCAGGGGAGACUGGAAUUCCUGGUGUAGCGGUGAAAUGCGCAGAUAUCAGGAGGAACACCGGUGGCGAAGGCGAGUUUCUGGGCAACAACUGACGCUGAGGAGCGAAAGCGUGGGGAGCGAACAGG